UACGAAGGGUGCAAGCGUUAAUCGGAAUUACUGGGCGUAAAGCGUGCGUAGGCGGUGACGUAAGUCGGGUGUGAAAUCCCUCGGCCUAACCGAGGAACUGCGCCCGAUACUGCGUUGCUUGAGGACCAGAGGGGUGCAUGGAAUUUCCGGUGGAGCGGUGAAAUGCGUUGAUAUCGGAAGGAACUCCGGCGGCGAAAGCGAUGCACUGGCUGGUUUCUGACGCUGAGGUGCGAAAGCCAGGGGAGCAAACGGG
rnacentral:rRNA from 1 species